UACGUAGGGUGCAAGCGUUAAUCGGAAUUACUGGGCGUAAAGCGUGCGCAGGCGGUAAUGUAAGUCAGAUGUGAAAUCCCCGGGCUUAACCUGGGACCUGCAUUUGUGACUGCAUUGCUGGAGUGCGGCAGAGGGGGAUGGAAUUCCGCGUGUAGCAGUGAAAUGCGUAGAUAUGCGGAGGAACACCGAUGGCGAAGGCAAUCCCCUGGGCCUGCACUGACGCUCAUGCACGAAAGCGUGGGGAGCAAACAGG
rnacentral:rRNA from 1 species